UUAAUAACAUGUAUCAAGAAUUAAACUCACUUUUAAUAUCAAGUGUUGAUGGUGAAGGAAUUUGGUACCUUCACAUACUGUUGGUAGACCUGAAACUUAGUAGGGCAUUAUUUAUAACUGUAGCAAAAAUAGACACAAACUUAUCAACAAGAGGCAGGUGAAGUAUGGAUACUACCUAGUAAUUAAAGUAAAUCUGGAGGAACUGACCUGGGAGAACAUCUUGUUUGUUAAAUGUAAAAAACGAAGUUGCAAAACACUAUGUACAGUAAGAUGAACUUUAUGAAAAAAAUAAACUACAAGCAGGACUCUAUAAAGGUGUAGAGAGAAGUCUGGAAGGGUACACGCCAAGCACCCAAGGAGUGAGAAGGGAGUAACAGUUACUGAGUGUUUGCUUUGUGGCAUGAGAUUCUUUACAUGAUUCUUUAGAGAUUCUUUGCAUGUACUAGCUCUAAACUUCCCAGCAAUUCUGAGGGUAUAAAACCCUGGAGACUCUUAAAUCUAAAGAUUUGUAUCUUUCUGUAGUUCAAGGACAAUUUCUGAAAUUAUGUAUUUGAUUGUGUACUCCCCAGAAGUCUGUUUUCCCUUUCUAUAACUCUUCCUGCAUUGAUUCUCUAGAUCUUUUAAUUUUUCUCUCAUGUUUCUCACCUCUUCGUCUUUUUGUUCUAUGUUUUAGGUCUCAGUGGUUAUCAAACUUGAGGUGCACCCCAAUCUCCUGGAAGGCUUGUGAAAAUACAGAUUGCUGGGCCCCACCCCCAGUUUCUGAUUUAGCACACAGGAAGACUACAUUUCCCAGUGUCCCCUGCCUCUGGAUGGGGCCAUGUGAUUAGUUCUGAUCAAUGGAAUUCAACUUCUUGGUUCCGCUCCUACGAUAUACCAUGAGGAUCUUGGCUGCUCUCAUUAUCUAUAAGGCAGCUAUCUGAAUACAGAGGACCCAGAAGAAGGCUGCAAGAUGAUGGAGGAUCCAUAAGAUGGAAGGGACAGCCAACCAGGAACAUUCACUUUGUUUGUGUGAGGGAGGAAAAAGUCUUUGUAUUAAUCCACUGAGAUUUAGGUUUGUUAUAGUUGUUAGUCCAUUCUGACUGAUACAGUAAUUGGUAAAGAAAGUGGAGUCUUGCUGAAAUUAAAUCCUACAGUAUGUGACAUUAGCAUAGCAGUGGUGGUAAGCAGUGAGGAAGCUAUGCCGGGGGCUGGAGAAAUAGAGAUCCAUGUUGUUAGAGAAAAAAUAUUUGAUAAAAUCAUCAUUUUUUGAAAUGUGGGAGGAAGAUCCCGUGCCUAAUGAGUCAUCAGUACCAAGGAAAAAGAUGGGAAGUAGAGUAUUAACAUGUGUGGAUAUUAUUGGCCUUGAUGGCAGGGUAUUGCAAAGACGAUGUGCAUUCAGGAAAGACUCAGCCAGUGUAAAUGUUGAAAUGAAAGGAAAUUGGGAGAUUCCAGAAAUUUGGCACCUUGAAAGAAGGGAAAGGCAAGUAUUUUGAAGGCCCAAAUAGUAAGAGAUAGUAGUUUUAAAGCUUUGAGCAAUAAAGGCUCAGUAAAACUUAUCAGCUGAAUAAAGCCCUCAGGGAAAAUUUUAAA